rnacentral:rRNA from 1 species
AUGGACGGUGACGGUCUCGUGAAUGGCUUGUCUGGCGCCACGCACGGCGGGGCUGAGGACGCCGCGUCUAGGGCGGCCAACCGUGCCGCUGCCGCUCCAGGGGAAGGGGACCGCCAGGAGAGAGCCCGGCCGACGUGGGCCGAGGGUGAGACGGGUGAAACGAAGGGCGGAGUCUGGCAGGACCGCAAGCUGCAUCAGCAGACCUUGAAAUGUAGAAGAGCACAACAGAACUCCGAGGAAUGGAAGCGAUACAAAAGACCACCUUCUGAACAAGAAUACUCUGAGGAUGUUAGUCAGCUCCGCCAUGGUCUAAAUGUAGAGCCUAGCAGGGAGGAGCUCAAUCAUUUGUCAAAAGCAUGCUGUCGGCUAUGGGAGCUUGACCUGAACCGUCUCCUCCCUGGUAACGACUACAGAAUCGAAUGUGGCCAAGGGAAGAAGGAUGACGUGCUGCGGAGGCCUACAUACUCUCGCUUUUGUGCACUUCUUCACAACUACAACCCACGCCAAGGAUACAAGGAAUUAGUCACCCAGCAGGACAAGAAUGAAGAAGCUGCUCUUAUUGAGGAGAUUGCUAGAAGUGCACCAAUCAAAUACUUAGACCGGUAUCUGGUGCUGAAGGGAACCACGUCUCAGGACCAGGAGGACUUCAAGAAAAUGUUGAUUUGUAUGGAAGGGGUGGAUGCUCUGGUAGCUCUGUUUUACCUGGAAGAAUCCAAAGGCAAUGUUGAUUACCAAGGGUACAUAUUUCCAAGGAAAUGCGGGGACCUGCCAGGCUCUGAGACGCAGCUACUCACCUGUCAGUUUGAGUGGCAUGGCUUGCUGAAAUCUGUAUCCAGCACAUUGGUUGGUGUCAGUCCUGAGUUUGAGAUUGCACUCUACACACUCUGCUUCUUCGCUGGAGAGGAAAAUAACCAUGUCCAUGUGGGUCCAUAUGCGAUGAACAUCAAGUGCUACAGGAUGGGGGUUAACAAGAUCGGAUCAGCUUUCCCUGUCGCAGAACAUUGA